AGAUGGGGCGCAGUCCUCCCAGGUGGGGAAGAGCCCCAAAAAACAAAGCGGGGCUUACUGGAAGGAGGGAUGUCUGCAAUCCGAGCUCAUGCAGUUCCAUCUGAAGAAAGGCCUAGCCGCUGCAGGAGCCAACAAAGAGCCGGACAAUGGGCAGCCUGCCGAGAUGGAGGGGUGGAGGGCGGCCAGUGGAUUCCACGAGCUCCAGGAUGAGGUGGAGAAACUGAAGGAGGAGAAUGAGAGUCUGAAGAAUGAAAUCGACGAGAUGAGGACGGAGAUGGACGAGAUGAGGGAUACCUUCUUCGAAGAGGACGCUUGUCAGCUGCAGGAUAUGCGCCACGAGCUGGAGAGGGCCAAUAAGAACUGCAGGAUCCUGCAGUACCGCCUCCGGAAGGCAGAGCGCAAGAAGCUCCGCUAUGCCCAGACUGGGGAGAUCGACGGGGAGCUUUUACGGAGCUUGGAGCAGGACUUAAAGGUAGCCAAGGAUGUAUCGGUUAGACUUCACCAUGAGCUGGAAAACGUGGAAGAAAAGCGCACUAAAACAGAGGAAGAGAAUGAAAAGCUACGUCAGCAGCUCAUUGAAGUUGAUAUAAAUAAGCAAGCUCUGCAGAAUGAACUCGAAAAGCUCAAGGAGUUAUCUUUGAAAAGAAGAGGAAGCAAAGAUGCGCAAAAAUCUGAAAAGAAGACUCUACCAACUCCAACAGAGGAGGACAAUGAGGAUUUGAAGUGCCAGCUCCAGUUUGUCAAAGAGGAAGCAAUGUUAAUGAGGAAGAAAAUGGCGAAGAUUGAUAAAGAAAAAGACAGACUAGAGCAUGAAGUGCAGAAGUACAGAUCAUUUUAUGGAGAUCUUGAUAGCCCUUUACCAAAGGGAGAGGCUAGUGGACCCCCUACGACAAGAGAGGCAGAACUGAAACUUCGACUGCGUUUAGUUGAAGAGGAAGCUAAUAUACUCGGAAGGAAGAUAGUAGAGCUAGAAGUAGAAAACAGAGGCCUGAAAGCUGAGCUGGAUGACCUGAGGGGAGAUGACUUCUCCAGCACAUCAACCUCUCUUCCACGGGAGCAAAGUGAAUCGGUAUCAGAACUGCGACAGCACUUGCAGUUGGUUGAAGAUGAAGCUGAACUUUUACGACGUAACCUUACUGACUUGGAAGAGCAGAACAAACGGAUCACUACAGAGAUGAACAAGUACAAGUUUAAGUCUGGCACUCAUGAAAGUUCUCGGCACAGUGACAACGUCAAGACAGACGCCUUACAGGAGGAGCUUAAAACUGCACGUUUGCAGAUCAAUGAGUUGAGUGGCAAAGUCAUGCAGCUCCAGUAUGAAAACAGAGUUCUUAUGUCUAACAUGCAGCGCUAUGAUCUUGCUUCCCACCUUGGUAUCCGAGGAAGUCCCAGAGAUAGUGAUGCAGAGAGUGAUGCUGGGAAAAAGGAAAGUGAUGAUGAUUCUCGCCCUCCGCACAGAAAACGAGAAGGCCCCAUUGGUGGUGAAAGUGACUCGGAGGAGGUGCGCAAUAUCCGUUGUCUUACUCCCACUAGGUCUUUUUAUCUUUCUACUAGUGUUUGGCAGAAGAAUUUUGCUGAGAGGCAGCAGGUGAAAGAUAUUAGGUCUGAGGCUGAACGACUGGGCAAGACAAUUGACCGGCUUAUCUCAGAUACAAGCACUAUAAUCACUGAAGCUAGAAUAUAUGUGGCCAAUGGUGACUUGUUUGGACUAAUGGAUGAGGAAGAUGAAGGCAGCAGAAUACGAGAACAUGAAUUACUUUAUCGGAUCAAUGCACAGAUGAAGGCUUUCAGGAAAGAACUACAGACAUUCAUUGAUCGGCUAGAGGUCCCAAAGUCAUCUGAAGACAGGAAUGCUGAUGAUCCUCUUUCAGUUAGCCAGUUUUGUUUAAUUUAUCCAUUCAUCAAGAUAAGCCGUAAAAGAAAUAUAGUUUCUACUCUACUUACGAAAAACACUGAAGACUGCUUGUAUAAUAUCCUGAUCCUACAUUUUCCAGCUUCUGCAAUUGGAAAAGUUUCAUAGAGAUUCUGUACAGCAAUCCAUACUGAUGUCUGCAUCCAGCUGCUUAUGGUACUGCACUGAAAAUUGAAAACAUUGAACGGAGUGUUAGGAACCCCCUGGAAAGUAUCUGAAAGAAACCUUGAAAGGAUAAUGCAUGGAGCACCACCCUUGAGUAAACAUUGGUCCACCCCUAAGGUCCACCUCUGAGACUCCCACAUUGGUUUCUCACUACUCCUUCUGUUUACUUGAGGAUCAUCACAGGCAUGUCACCCAUUACAUCUAGGCUCACAUCCAAAGAAUUGAGAUCUCUAAUUGUAGAAUGUGACUUAUAAGAAUUUUUGCCUGCUAAAGUAUAGGUCUAGUUGCCUAAGGAACACAGAUAGGUUGUGUACUAACCUAGAAGACAGCUAAGGCUAGCAUACUACAACACGUAACAAUGUGUUUUUCUGAUAAGCCCCAAAUACCUUUACAUUUAUACUUAUACAAAGUCUGACUUUUUGUUCCCUCAGCCCUACAAAAAGUCCAAUCUUUCAGAGUACGUUAAUACAACACAAAGUUCACUGAGCCUUUAGAGAAUUCCACUUCGAGAAAGUUUGAUGUGAGCUCAAAAAGCACAUCUGUCCCUGAUUCAUUUGCUGGACUCCGCAAAGUAAAAUGUAAUUUCUGUGCCAAUUAAACAAAUUAU